CGAAAGCCUGACGGAGCAACGCCGCGUGAGGGAUGAAGGCCUCUGGGCUGUAAACCUCUUUUCUCAAGGAAGAAGAUCUGACGGUACUUGAGGAAUAAGCCACGGCUAAUUCCGUGCCAGCAGCCGCGGUAAUACGGGAGUGGCAAGCGUUAUCCGGAAUCAUUGGGCGUAAAGCGUCCGCAGGCGGCCUUGAAAGUCUGUCGUUAAAGCGUGGAGCUUAACUCCAUUUCAGCGAUGGAAACUACAAGGCUUGAGUGUGGUAGGGGCAGAGGGAAUUCCCGGUGUAGCGGUGAAAUGCGUAGAUAUCGGGAAGAACACCAGUGGCGAAGGCGCUCUGCUGGGCCACAACUGACGCUCAUGGACGAAAGCCAGGGGAGCG
rnacentral:rRNA from 1 species